rnacentral:lncRNA from 1 species
UUGUAGACUAUUGUCGAAUACAAGAGAAAAAAUACAGGCAGGUUAAGUAAAGGCCAAGUAGAGCUGUAGUAAUAAGUAUUGCUGGUUGUAAUUUUGGAGUGAGAAUUGGUGAUGAGUUGUAGGAGGUUAGGAGAAGUCAAAGACUGUAUAGGAGCUGAUGUGAUUGGUAGUUCUUGUAACAAAUUAGUAUAAAUAGUGAAGCAUAGAUGUGGAAAAGAUUGUCCAAAAACAAAAACUCUAUAUAGUAUUAGAUAAAUGUUCCAUGUUAUUUAGAUAUUUGAGCUACUGAAGGUAUCACACAUCUUUACAAGGAAAAUCGACUGUGAAUUUAAGAUUGAAAUCAUCGAGUCAGAUAGAGAAAGGGAAAGAUAAGUGAUCCUUUAAUUAUCAUUAUGGAGUGCUAAGUGAUCCUUUAACUAUCAUUAUGGAGUAUAAUUCUACACUGCUCUUUCCCCAUAUUGCUGUUGUCCACUGUAAAUUGAUAAAUUCACAGGGUUCUAGAGGUUUUAAUUGUAGCCAUGUUUUAGUUGUUUCGUCGAAGCGAAUUUGUGUUGAAAUGAAGUUCUAACAAGUCUUUGAACAAACAGCAUAAAGGAAUGACAGAAAUCAGAUGAACAAGAUGAAAUGAAUCUCUUAUUUGAUAAAGAGCUGAAAAGAGCACAGUUGAAGAAAAAUAAUUGCUACAACUGAGCUGUCACUUUAUAACCAAUCAGAGUAGUUUCUUGUCUAACAGACUAACAAAACAGCUAGUGCAAACUACCAAAACUACCGUCUAAAUCAUCAUUAAUCUAGUUAUGAGCUGUUCAAAUGAGCACCAUUAUCCAUCUUUUCAGGUUUAACAACUUCAGUUGUACUAGCAUAUCACAUUGUUAAUUGAAUAAAGAUGAUACAUCUUGUGGGUGACUUGUGAAAAGCAGAAACUUCUGUUCUGUUUCAUUCAAUCAUAUACUUUAAAUCUAAAUGUUGUAAACAAUUUGAACUGUUGUGGAAUUGAAAUUAUAAGCGAGGCAAUGUCAAGGAGGUCAACUAAAUUGCUCUAGUUAGCAAAUUCAGAGGCUAACUUCAUCUCAAUUUUGGGCAGGAGAUGUGGCACUGGUUAAUAAUUCAGAGGCAGAAUUGAAUUUGAUGAAAUUAGAUAGCAUAUUAGCAUUGGCAUAAGCUGAAGGGGUUAAAGUUUCGCCUAACCUAUCUACUUGUUCUGGUUUUAUUUUUAUUCUGUUGCACAUAUUUAUAG